rnacentral:misc_RNA from 1 species
GAGGGUGACGUUGAGGUCGACGGAGAGGUUGGGGAUGUUGAGGCCGGCGCGGAGGUUGACGAGGUGCACGGCGUUGACGGUGGUGGCGGCGUGGUGGACGCGGAAGACGGUGAGACCGAGGAUGAGGAGGAUGAUGAAGACGGCGAGGAGGAUGGCGGCGCAGAGGAGGCAGAGGCGGCGGCGGCGCUUGCGGCGGAGGGACUGGUGGUGCU